GAUGGCGUAAAUGAUGACUAAUUUUUUUUCCCCGGCAGAUCGACUCUGUUGACUUUUAUAGAAAAAUAAGCCAAAUUAUCUGAGCCGUCUUC
ensembl:snoRNA